rnacentral:rRNA from 1 species
UACGAAGGGGGCUAGCGUUGCUCGGAAUCACUGGGCGUAAAGCGCACGUAGGCGGAUCUUUAAGUCAGGGGUGAAAUCCUGGAGCUCAACUCCAGAACUGCCUUUGAUACUGGGGAUCUCGAGUCCGGAAGAGGUGAGUGGAACUCUGAGUGUAGAGGUGAAAUUCGUAGAUAUUCGGAAGAACACCAGUGGCGAAGGCGGCUCACUGGUCCGGUACUGACGCUGAGGUGCGAAAGCCAGGGGAGCGAACGGG